GAACUGGCCCCUGGGAUUUGCUGCUCAGAACCUGAGUUCACUGAGACAUCAGGAGCAAGCACUGGAGGCCGGGUGCUGCUGGACCCAGAUGGGAGCCAUGCAGGACUUGACCAUGGCCUGCACACACUUCUUCCCAGGAGAAGGGGAAUGAGGAAGAACUGGAUGCUGAGACAUGCCCCCGCGAUCCCAAGACCACCAGGUACCGUGAGCAAUCACUGGAGCUGGAACACUGCUGCCUGAGGAAGAGAAGAAGUGCAGGCUUGUCAUUGUCUAUGCUGUUACUUGUGGUUCCCGGGUCUUCAGAGAGGAUGCACAAGAACGGGAGAACCGGCCCCUGGGAUUUGCUGCUCAGGACCCGAGUUCACUGAGACAUCAGGAGCAAGCACUGGAGGCCGGUGCUGCUGGAUCCAGAUGGGAGCCAUGCAGGACUUGACCAUGGCCUGCACACACUUCUUCCCAGGAGAAGGGGAAUGAGGAAGGCAGACUGGCAUCACAGGACCCUUCAGAGUAUUAAUGCAGACCUUCGUGACAGAGGUCCAGUACCAAGUGCUCAGCGGUGCUAAGGUCCAGGGACAGGAGGCAGAAGGGCGGGUUCCAGCCCGCUCAGCUGGCCAUGGUAAAAUACUAGCUGGUGUCCUAGGGCAGCAAGGCGCCUCCCUCUCCAGGUUAUGAAAACAUUGCAGUCUGAGUUUCUGUUGGGACCUGAGAAGAAGUCAAGGAAGCCCUGCAAGGCACUCACAGCUGCUCCUGCUGUCUGUAAUCGGCCGCCAUCUUCCUUCAUUCUCUGGUGACUGAGGUCCAGGAACAGGAAGCAGAGGGGCAGGUUCCACCCCGCUCAGCUGGCCAUGGUAAUCUAUCUACUAGCUGGUGUCCUACUCUCCAGCUUCUGAAGAGAAAACACUGCAGUUGCAGUUUCUGUUGGGGCCUGAGAAGAAGUCAAGGAAGCCCUGCAAGGCACUCACAGCUGCUCCUGCUGUCUAAUUGGUCACUAUCUUCCGCCAUUGCUAGGAAUCAUGAGCAGGAGGAGAGUGGCGCUGUGAGUUUUGAAACCGUGUCCUCAUGGUGGCAGUAGAGCUCCAAACAAGAGCUUAACCGGCCCCUGGGAUUUGCUGCUCAGGACCCGAGUUCAGUGAGACAUCAGGAGCAAGCACUGGAGGCCGGUGCUGCUGGACCCAGAUGGGAGCCAUGCAGGACUUGACCAUGGCCUGCACACACUUCUUCCCAGGAGAAGGGGAAUGAGGAAGAACUGGACCAGAAGAUUUAACUUCCAUACCACAAGCACUGGGGUAGAAGACUGCUGCUGGGUGAAGAAGAGACUAGACUUGAUCAUUGAGCAGCCACUCACUGAUAUCUUCAGUGCUGCAUGAGGAAGAGUUUAUUCUUCUGGAUUUGGUGGUGGAUUCUGGUGAAGAUACAGAUGGAUGCUCUGGCUGAGUCGCUACCUUGAAAUGAAAAUGGGAGGACUGGCCCCUGGGAUUUUCUGCUCAGGACCCGAGUUCACUGAGACAUCAGGAGCAAGCACUGGAGGCCGGUGCUGCUGGACCCAGAUGGGCGCCAUGCAGGACUUGACCAUGGCCUGCACACACUUCUUCCCAGGAGAAGGGGAAUGAGGAAAGUGGGGGGCCUCAAAGCUUCCUUUCCUUUCUGUUUGUCUUGCUAUGUUUUUAUAUUCCUUUUUAUCCAUUUAAUUAUUUAGUACAAAAUCAGGUCCAGUCUCCUUAGAUAUGGCAUUGAUAUAAAGUGUAAAAUGGAAGCUAAAUUCUAGGAGUACAGCAUUGCAUGCUUCUGACAGAGACAAGGAAGGCUAGAAUCACACAGUUAGUGGACACUGCAACUAUAUUGACAUUUUUUUUUUUUUAGACUGUGAAGGUGGGGACAGAUUGCUGCACUCAGAACACCUUCCCUGCUCUGGGGAAACAAACACUGUCAUCAUGGGGAAAAUGUUUCCUGUAGACCCACACAAGCACACACCCCUCCUCCUACAUCCAGCUUCUCCUCAGCCAUUUUGAAGCAGGGAAGAUCAGGGGGAUUCAUGAAUGGCGAAAUUUGGCCUUUUUUAGUGUAUUUCUCUCCUUCUGUAGGCAGACUGGCAUCACCUGACCCUUCAGAGUAUUAACUCAGACCCUGGUGACUGAGGUCCAGUACCAAGUGCUCAGCUGGGCUGCGGUGCAGGGACAGGAAGCAGAAGGGCAGAUUCAACCCCCCUCAGCUGGCCAUGCUAAUCUACUAGCUGGUGUCCUAGGGCAGCAAGGCGCCUCCCUCUCCAGGAUCUGAUGAGAAAACACUGCAGUUCCAGUUUCUUUCGGGGCUUGAAGAGAAGUCAAGGAAGCCCUGCAAGGCACUCACAGCUGAUCAUGCUUUCUGUAAUCGCCCUCCAUCUUCCUUCAUUGCUAGGAAUCAUUGGAAGGACAACAGCGGAGCUGUGAGUUUUGAAACCGCGUCCUCAUGGGGGCAGUAGAGGUCCACACAAGAGCUUAACUGGCCCCUGGGAUUUGCUGCUCAGAACCUGAGUUCACUGAGACAUCAGGAGCAAGUACUGGAGGCCGGUGCUGCUGGACCCAGAUGGGAGCCAUGCGGGACUUGACCAUGGCCUGCACACACUUCUUCCCAGGAGAAGGGGAGUGAGGAAGAACCGGCCCCUGGGAUUUGCUGCUCAGGACCCGAGUUCACUGAGACAUCAGGAGCAAGCACUGGAGGCCGGGUGCUGCUGGACCCAGAUGGGAGCCAUGCAGGACUUGACCAUGGCCUGCACACACUUCUUCCCAGGAGAAGGGGAAUGAGGAAGGUGGGGGCCUCAAGGCUUC
rnacentral:lncRNA from 1 species